rnacentral:pre_miRNA from 1 species
CAACCUCUGCAGGCCGGCUGGUCCCCAGGCUGGGUUGGGUGAAUAUCUCUUUGAAAAGCUCACCCUCAACCAUGACUAGGAGC